CGCAUCUGUGCAUGCAGCAUAUCAAUAAGCGGAGGAAAAGAAACUAACAAGGAUUCCCCUAGUAACGGCGAGUGAAGCGGGAAGAGCUCAAAUUUGAAAUCUUAAAGGGUUUCCCUUUACGAAUUGUAGUUUAAAGAAGUGUUUUCUGUUGAGGUUUUGGUAAGAGUUCUUUGGAAUAGGACAUCAUAGAGGGUGAGAAUCCCGUAUUUGACCUUUACUUUCAACUUUGUGAUACACUUUCAAAGAGUCGGAUUGUUUGGGAAUGCAGUCCAAAAUGGGUGGUAAAUUUCAUCUAAAGCUAAAUAUUGGCGAGAGACCGAUAGCGAACAAGUACCGUGAGGGAAAGAUGAAAAGAACUUUGAAAAGAGAGUUAAACAGUACGUGAAAUUGUCAAAAGGGAAGCGUUUGACACCAGUGUUGUUUUUCUGAAAAUCAAUUAAAGAACUGUUUAUGCUAAGCUGUUUAGACUUUAUCAGCUAAUCUGUUUAGUUUUGAGCUAUUCUUUAAUGCACUUUUCAGUUAACAAGUCAACAUCAAUUUCUUUUGCUGUAAAAAAGCUUGAGGAAGGUGGCUUGAGAUUCGUCUUAAGUGUUUAUAGCCUCUUGCCUAUGCAGUCGGAGAGAUUGAGGUCUGCAGCGUAGAUCCUUCGGGGCUAAAUGCAUUUGUGCUAAGUUAUAACAUUUUAUAGACAACUUGUUGACUAUGAUUUGUCUUGUAGCUUACUCGCUUAUGUUAUUUUACCUACGCUUAGGAUGUUGAACGCGCACAGAGUCUC
rnacentral:rRNA from 1 species